GCUUCUGUGGAUCAGGGUAGAUCACCCCAGUUAUGUGAUUGCUUGCUGUGUUGCAUAUUUACGGGGAGACGUGGGUUCGAAUCCCGCGGAAGGCA